rnacentral:rRNA from 1 species
GAUGAACGCUGGCGGCGUGCCUAAUACAUGCAAGUCGAGCGAACGGACGAGAAGCUUGCUUCUCUGAUGUUAGCGGCGGACGGGUGAGUAACACGUGGAUAACCUACCUAUAAGACUGGGAUAACUUCGGGAAACCGGAGCUAAUACCGGAUAAUAUUUUGAACCGCAUGGUUCAAAAGUGAAAGACGGUCUUGCUGUCACUUAUAGAUGGAUCCGCGCUGCAUUAGCUAGUUGGUAAGGUAACGGCUUACCAAGGCAACGAUGCAUAGCCGACCUGAGAGGGUGAUCGGCCACACUGGAACUGAGACACGGUCCAGACUCCUACGGGAGGCAGCAGUAGGGAAUCUUCCGCAAUGGGUGAAAGCCUGACGGAGCAACGCCGCGUGAGUGAUGAAGGUCUUCGGAUCGUAAAACUCUGUUAUUAGGGAAGAACAUAUGUGUAAGUAACUGUGCACAUCUUGACGGUACCUAAUCAGAAAGCCACGGCUAACUACGUGCCAGCAGCCGCGGUAAUACGUAGGUGGCAAGCGUUAUCCGGAAUUAUUGGGCGUAAAGCGCGCGUAGGCGGUUUUUUAAGUCUGAUGUGAAAGCCCACGGCUCAACCGUGGAGGGUCAUUGGAAACUGGAAAACUUGAGUGCAGAAGAGGAAAGUGGAAUUCCAUGUGUAGCGGCGAAAUGCGCAGAGAUAUGGAGGAACACCAGUGGCGAAGGCGACUUUCUGGUCUGUAACUGACGCUGAUGUGCGAAAGCGUGGGGAUCAAACAGGAUUAGAUACCCUGGUAGUCCACGCCGUAAACGAUGAGUGCUAAGUGUUAGGGGGUUUCCGCCCCUUAGUGCUGCAGCUAACGCAUUAAGCACUCCGCCUGGGGAGUACGACCGCAAGGUUGAAACUCAAAGGAAUUGACGGGGACCCGCACAAGCGGUGGAGCAUGUGGUUUAAUUCGAAGCAACGCGAAGAACCUUACCAAAUCUUGACAUCCUUUGACAACUCUAGAGAUAGAGCCUUCCCCUUCGGGGGACAAAGUGACAGGUGGUGCAUGGUUGUCGUCAGCUCGUGUCGUGAGAUGUUGGGUUAAGUCCCGCAACGAGCGCAACCCUUAAGCUUAGUUGCCAUCAUUAAGUUGGGCACUCUAAGUUGACUGCCGGUGACAAACCGGAGGAAGGUGGGGAUGACGUCAAAUCAUCAUGCCCCUUAUGAUUUGGGCUACACACGUGCUACAAUGGACAAUACAAAGGGCAGCGAAACCGCGAGGUCAAGCAAAUCCCAUAAAGUUGUUCUCAGUUCGGAUUGUAGUCUGCAACUCGACUACAUGAAGCUGGAAUCGCUAGUAAUCGUAGAUCAGCAUGCUACGGUGAAUACGUUCCCGGGUCU